GAUGAACGCUGGCGGCGUGCCUAAUACAUGCAAGUCGAGCGAACAGACGAGGAGCUUACUCCUCUGACGUUAGCGGCGGACGGGUGAGUACACGUGGAUAACCUACCUAUAAGACUGGGAUAACUUCGGGAAACCGGAGCUAAUACCGGAUAACAUGUUGAACCGCAUGGUUCAACAGUGAAAGACGGUCUUGCUGUCACUUAUAGAUGGAUCCGCGUCGCAUUAGCUAGUUGGUAAGGUAACGGCUUACCAAGGCAACGAUGCGUAGCCGACCUGAGAGGGUGAUCGGCCACACUGGAACUGAGACACGGUCCAGACUCCUACGGGAGGCAGCAGUAGGGAAUCUUCCGCAAUGGGCGAAAGCCUGACGGAGCAACGCCGCGUGAGUGAAGAAGGUCUUCGGAUCGUAAAACUCUGUUAUUAGGGAAGAACAAAUGUGUAAGUAACUAUGCACGUCUUGACGGUACCUAAUCAGAAAGCCACGGCUAACUACGUG
rnacentral:rRNA from 1 species